UUUGCGCUUCCCAAUGAAGACCAAUCCUUAGGUGAAGAAGUGUCGCAGUAUUCAAGGGCUGCCUUAGCCGCUUCUAAGUGCAAUCCAGUUGAUUCCGGUUUGUUGUAGGUGUCCUCUAGCCUCCAGCACAGGAAUAGGCACCAAUAUGAAGAACCCGGGAGUGCAUGCAGACGAAUUCCUAGCUGGUGGAUGAACGGUGAACUCCGCUCCAAUACCGGAUUGAGACAGUUCCCGCGAAGCCCAACAGAGUGCUGAACAUCACCGAACGGCAGGGUGUGACGAGCGCUGGAGCUCAAUUCGCUGGUAAUCCAGUCAAACUCAAGCGACGGGAAGAGAGGAAGCAACCGGUCAGAGGCCGAAAAUCGACCACGAAAAGAACGGCGGAGCGACUACCAGUCCUCGGCUGAGAAGAAGGAGCUAAUGCCUAGCGAUCGGCCGAGUGGCUCAACUACAGCAAGAGUUGCAGAGCGUAGACGGUCCGUGAGUACUAAAAACAUGGUGACUGUGGUCACAGAAGACUAGCCCAAGGGCUGAAGAAGGCAGUGUGCCAUUAAGCAGCAAUGACUGCCCGACAGAUAGAAAGUUAAGGACAGAUAGAGUAGAAGCUUAGUAUUGGGGGCGUGGGUGUGCAAUUGACAAAACGAAUAUAUGAUGUGGCUCAAAUGAA